rnacentral:lncRNA from 1 species
CCAAUUUAUAUUAUUUUUUUACAAAUUAAAAAAAAAGUUAUUUUAAACAUGUUUGGAAAAAAAAGUUAAUUAAAAUCAACAUUUUUCUUCUUUAAACUUUUAAUAAUAUUCAGGUAUUUUACCAUUGAAAAGUAAUUGUACAUCGUCUUCCCCUACUUAACAUGUAAUUAUUUAAUUGCUGCCGUAUAUAUAUAUUUUUAGUAUUCUUAAGAAUUGCUCAGCCAUUUGCCAUAUAUUUCUUAUUCUGCAAAAUUCAUGAAUGGUUACAUGAUACCUUUAGUUACCACUCUAGUACCUGAUGCUAUUUUUAAUGCAUUCAUUGAAGAUUCAAGGUUAAUGUACUAUUUAAAAAUCACAAACAUAUUUGAAAUAAAACUAUGCAUAUAUGUGGCUCAUGUUUACUUGCAUCCAAACCAUUUCUCAUACGUACAUUUUUAGAAUAAGUACCUUAAUAUUCUGCUGAAAACAUUUUGCAUAGUGUUAGGAUCCUAUUGCUGCUUAACAUCUGCCUUUAACAAUAGAUUUUCCAUGUAUUAGAUAAUUGGAUGUUUUCGUUGCUUUAUUUAGCUUGAACUUUAUGAAAUCAUUUAAUGCGUCAUUGCUGCUUGGUCCUCUGCUGGUUAGAUUCCAUCCACUCCAUAGUGAAGUUCUUCAAGUAUAAGUUUAGAUACAAAGUUCGACUGUGGGAUGCAAAUGCUGCUGAGUGUUUAGGUAACCUUAAAAUUCGAGCAUCAGAGCAACAAUGGCUGCAAUUACAGACCCCUUUAUAUGUGGCAAGUCUACAUGUAAACUAUUUCUUCUUCUCUUAUAAUAGUUUCAUGUCACAAGUUUUAAAGAAUGGUCUAAAAAAAUCCCUAUGCUUUUUUCUUAUAUUUUCUCAUUUCACCCUUUAAUGGUACUUGCUUUUUAGAGAGAGAGAGAGAGUGAGAGAAAUAAAUUGGUCCAAGGAUCGAAAUCUGCAAUUUUUAGUUGAGUUUGACGAUGAUAUGAGCUUCUUUAAUGAAAUUCUGAAGCCAUUACUUUUAUUGUUUACUUAUGUUAAUUUCACAAUAUUUUAAUUAUUUCUCUUCUUUAACUUCGUUUAUUUCUCUUCUUUUUCUUGGUUUAUCCUUUCUUCUUCUCUCUCAACUUUACAAAGGUUCUCUGUGAAUUUUUUUUUUUUUAUAGAUUUGUUUUUCCACCAAAUAAUUUUGAUUUUUGAUUCAGUUGAACUUUAGGAGGAGUAUAGGGCUUCUUAUGCUGAAGACGAUGCUUUUCAUUUCCUAGACAACAAUGAUAUUCAUGAGUAUUUAUAAUAAAUUAUUUUUAUUGAACUCUGGACGUUUACAAAUUAAUUUUUGUUUCUGGAUUGGAAGAAUCAAGUGAAUUGAAUUAUUUGGACUUGUUUUUAAGGCUAAAAGAAAAAGGAAGAUUUUUCAAAAAUGAAACUUAAACCUCAUCAUGUCAAUCAUUCGUUGUGGGCUUGUGCUGAUGGUCAAAUUUUUCUCAAAACUUUUUCCCGUGUACAAACAAGCCUAUAACUUCCUCAUUGCCAUUGUUGAACCUAUUUUCAGGUAUCAUUUUAAUCAAUAUACUAUGAUUAUAUGUGUCACGUGUUUGACCCAUUGCUUAGAUACUACGAUACAAAAAUUGAGAGUUGAUGGCUCAUAGUAGUAUUACUCUAUGGCAAAGAGUAAAAAUAAAAGGAUUAAUGGCUCUAUAGUGGUUGUACUUUAGAAGAGAGGUACAAUUGACAUUGAGCUACUACACUUGCAUAGUUGAACUUGCAGGUUUAUUGAUUUCGAAUGUAAUUGGAAUUUAAUUUUAAUUUUUAUACUUUCUAUUUUACAGGCUCGAGUCAAUGCAUGAGUACAAUUUCGCGUCACACUGUAUAUGUCACGGUGGGAAUGUUUGUACUUCCAUGAAGGGACAUGGUAUUGAUGUACAACAACAAAAAUGGUUGUCAUUGACCUAUAAAAUGCAAAAAAUUUGCUGCUAUGCACAAACUCAACUUGGUCAUGGCUUCAACAUACAAGGCCUUGAAACCACUACAACAUUUGACCAUAAGGCUGAUGAAUCUGUAGUUCAUACUCUAACAUUGACUUUAAGCGAAGUAAGAAACAUGAUAGAUAAGAGGUUGGUAAUGUUUCAUGUUCCUGUUAAACAUUGGGACAAAUGCUUUUUCACUACACAUCUAAUUAUUGUAUUAUAGUUGUUUUCUUAUCCACUUACGUUUCUAAUUUCUUAUGCUAUAUUUUAUGUAUCUUCCUCGAAUUCCUCAAAUUUGUUCUAUAUUUUCUGUCUUAUUUUCCGAAUAGUGGUGUCCUGAUGGACUAGGUAAAUUGUCCACCCAUGCGGUUGUUUAUGCAUGCCAUUACAAUGGUAAAGAUCAUGGAGUUCAUGGUAAGAAUAUAUAGCCUCUAUUGACAUUGAUAUCCAAUUUUGUUCUUGCACAUGUUAGUCCAAGUUUUCAUAUUGUUUAGGCUUUAUUGUCCAACUACAGAACUUGGAGGACCACACUCUUUCGAGAAUCAUCC